GCGGUGCCCAUGCGCCCCCCCGCGCCCCCCGCCGGUUGCUGCACCGGACCGCCCCGCCUCCUCGCCCCCUCCGCACCUCCGCAGCCCCUCCCGCGCCAGCUUCCAGAAAGCUCCCGGUGCUUUCCACGGCAUUCUUCGGGCGUGAGUCAUGCAGGUUUGCAGCCAGCCCCACAGUGGGUGGAUCCCGGGCAGAGCGUUAUAAAUGCAGGCGCCUCACGGCGCUCCGCACGCGGCGUCGCUAGGAGGAGCGCGCAGGCACCGGGCACCGCUGACCGUUCCAAGCACAAUUCUGUGGGGUGAACAGUACAGGUGUGACGAUCCUCCUUUUGUAAAGAUGUGGAAAGUGACACUGAAGGACUGACGCUAUUGCCGGAGGCCCAGGCUAGUGAGCAGAGCCUGCCUGCGCUUAGAGCCUUCCUGCAGCAUCUUCCUUGGGAAGGUACUGAUCUCCAGUGGUGGUUGUCAGCCUGCGCGCAUGAGUCAUCUUGUUUGCCCCGGCAUACUCUGGUUCUCUGGAUGCUUAUGAGUAUGAUGUUUUGAUUUAAAUACAUGUUGCCACUCCUUAAAUCCUACUCUUUCUGCUUCCUAAUGCACCAGGGCACCUCAGAGAAACGUCACACAACCUCCAUCAGACUUCAGACAUCCGAUUCCACUGUUUCAUUGUGUAGAUGAUAAUCUGAAACCUAAAGAGGUUUAGGACCAGCUCUAAAGAUAAAUGUCAAAUUGGUGUCAGAAUUGGGAUUAGAACCAAAGCCUUGACCUUCCAGAAUUUCUGGACUUAAAAAAAGAAGAAGAAGAAGGAGAAGAAGAAGCUGAUUAUUGUUAUUCAUUUAAGAGUGAGGUUAGGAAUUUAAAAGUAAAUACAUAUAUUAUAAAAGGA